AUAAUUUGUAUAAGUUUAUUAAUUUUUCACGAUCAUAACUUAUGUUGUAGCUCUAAUGCAUGAAUACCUAAUAAUGAAUUAAUACCUACCACGAUGUUGAUGAAAAUUAAUCUACACCGUGAUUAGUACCCACUACUACUUAUGAUAAUUUUACAACUCAAAUUUGCGCGAGUAAUAUGUAAUCAAUUACUUCAGAAUUUUAGUUAUGGUUAAUUUGAUCGUCUGAGCUAUUUUCAAAUAAAUUUUCAAAGUUUGCUGUUCGCCAAAGAUUUU